UACGAAGGGGGCUAGCGUUGUUCGGAAUUAUUGGGCGUAAAGAGCUCGUAGGCGGUGUGUCGCGUCGGCCGUGAAAACCUGGGGCUUAACUCUGGGCGUGCGGUCGAUACGGGCAUCACUGGAGUUCGGCAGGGGAGACUGGAAUUCCUGGUGUAGCGGUGAAAUGCGCAGAUAUCAGGAGGAACACCGGUGGCGAAGGCGGGUCUCUGGGCCGAUACUGACGCUGAGGAGCGAAAGCGUGGGGAGCGAACAGG
rnacentral:rRNA from 1 species